AUUGAACGCUGGCGGCGUGCCUAAUACAUGCAAGUCGAACGGAGUGGCGCACGGGUGAGUAAGUUAUAGCUAAUCUGCCCUACACUAGAGGACAACAGCUGGAAACGGCUGCUAAUACUCUAUAGUGUAGGAUGAGGCUAUAUAGUAUCAGCUAGUUGGUGAGGUAAGGGCUCACCAAGGCUAUGACGCAUAGCUGGUCUAAGAGGCUGAUCAGUCACACUGGAACUGAGACACGGUCCAGACUCAUACGUGAGGCAGCCGUAGGGAAGUUUGCUCAAUGGGGGAAACCCUGAAGCAGCAUCGCCGCGUGGAGGAUGACACUUUUCGGAGCGUAAACUCCUUUUGUUAGGGAAGCGGUACCUAACGAAUAAGCACCGGCGAACUCCGUGCCAGCAGCCGCGGUAAUUC
rnacentral:rRNA from 1 species